ensembl:snRNA U7 U7 small nuclear RNA
CAGUGUUAAAGCUCUUAUAGAAUUUGUCUAGCAGGUUUUCCAGUCUGCACCAGAAAACUCCA